rnacentral:rRNA from 1 species
CCUACGGGAGGCAGCAGUGGGGAAUAUUGGACAAUGGGGGGAACCCUGAUCCAGCCAUGCCGCGUGUGUGAAGAAGGCCCUCGGGUUGUAAAGCACUUUCAGUGAGGAAGAACGCCUGGUGGUUAAUACCCAUCAGGAAAGACAUCACUCACAGAAGAAGCACCGGCUAACUCCGUGCCAGCAGCCGCGGUAAUACGGAGGGUGCGAGCGUUAAUCGGAAUUACUGGGCGUAAAGCGCGCGUAGGUGGCUUGAUAAGCCGGUUGUGAAAGCCCCGGGCUCAACCUGGGAACGGCAUCCGGAACUGUCAAGCUAGAGUGCAGGAGAGGACGGUAGAAUUCCCGGUGUAGCGGUGAAAUGCGUAGAGAUCGGGAGGAAUACCAGUGGCGAAGGCGGCCUUCUGGACUGACACUGACACUGAGGUGCGAAAGCGUGGGUAGCAAACAGGAUUAGAUACCCGGGUAGUC